rnacentral:rRNA from 1 species
CCUACGGGAGGCAGCAGUGAGGAAUAUUGGUCAAUGGACGGAAGUCUGAACCAGCCAUGCCGCGUGCAGGAAGACGGCUCUAUGAGUUGUAAACUGCUUUUGUACAAAGGUAAACCUGAAUACGUGUAUUCAGCUGAAAGUACUGUACGAAUAAGGAUCGGCUAACUCCGUGCCAGCAGCCGCGGUAAUACGGAGGAUCCAAGCGUUAUCCGGAUUUGUUGGGUUUAAAGGGCGCGUAGGCGGAUUGAUAAGUUAGAUGUGAAAUGUCCGAGCUUAACUCGGGAAUUGCAUCUAAUACUGGUGAUCUAGAGAGUAGGUGCGGUAGGCGGAAUGUAUGGUGUAGCGGUGAAAUGCUUAGAGAUCAUACAGAACACCGAUUGCGAAGGCAGCUUACCAAUCUAUAUCUGACGUUGAGGCACGAAAGCGUGGGUAGCAAACAGGAUUAGAUACCCUUGUAGUC